rnacentral:misc_RNA from 1 species
AGUGGGAGCGAGCCUGCUCGCGAUGAGGCCGUCACAUUCAACGUUGAUGUUGAAUGACAGGCCGCUAUCGCGAGCAGGCUCGCUCCCACA